GCAGCCUGUUUCAGAUUUUCUCUCUCUCAAAAAUAGAUAAACAUUAAAAAAAGUUGUUUUUAGAUAAGAUAUAAUUCCAGAUAACAGAAUUGCUCUCUUUAGCCCCCUCCAUGAGGCUGACAGAAUAAUUGGACAUAGAGAAGUUACACAGAACUGAGAAACAGACCAGUGGUCUGAGGAUGGGAGAAAACCUCGUGACUUUUUUUUUUUUCCAGUCAGCACAAAAGUGUUAUUUCUUUUAAG